rnacentral:ncRNA from 2 species
CCUAUCAUGCGCGCCGUUGGUGCUCGUCCUCGGCGUCGGUCGGGGCAGUUCAACGGGAAUCAGGAAGGGCGACCCGCGUCGCCUGCGAGCCCCCAACCUGAGCUGCCCCCGCAACGGUAAGCGGUCGGAGGCUUCGGGCUUCCGCUCGUGUCGAAUCCACUGGGUGAACGCCUGGGAAGGGCACACGGGUCGCACCGCCAGCCCGGAUACCGGCCAACGAGGGGGUGCGGCG